AUUCUUUGUUUUGCAUAGAAUGGUGGGGAGGACCCAAGGGGAGUUUUAACUCCAGGCUAUUUUGAGCCAUGUAACUUUCCUUCAUCAGCCACCCCAGGAAUGCAGACAUUGUCACCUUGCCCAUCAUAUUAGAGGCCCUGGAGUGGGAAGGCCUAGGUUAUCCAAGAGGUCCGGAUGUUACUGGGGUUCCUAGGGCUCACCGAGAAUGAUCAUCUUCUACUUCUCAACCACAGCUGACCCAAUAACCAGUCUCCUUGGGAAAGGGAAGAAAUUUGUCUAUUCUUGGCCAGGUUGCAUCUUUUCAGCAGUUGAAAUUGUCCACUCUCAUUCUCUGAUCAACUUGUCUAACCAAUGCAAUCAACUACUCAACCCAAACCUCCUACUAAACCAAGUUUCCUAGUGGGUAAUUGCUGAAGUGAGAAGGAACAGGUCAUAGGCUAAAAUCCCUGGAGAACUGACUUCAUAAAGCCACUGAUAAAGCCAUUGCUUCAUAUAGAACUACAACUGCCCUUUCAAAAAUCUAAUAAAUGUGCCUUAGUACUCACAUUUCAGAGCAUACUGUGGCUGGAAUAUAUGCUUUUGAAAUCUGUGGUGAAAGGAUUGCUGGAGAUGAUACACUCACUCCAUUGUUCCCCUCCCAAGACUGAGCCAUUCAUGAAAAAAGGAGAGGGUAACGGACAUAGGUCUUUCUAGAGAAUACUGCACAGCUCCUCAGAAACUCUGCUCUUGGGACCCUCUCAGAAAGCCCUGAAGGAAAAAAUCACAAUUGGGAGUGAGGUCAUGAGCUCAUGGCAUUACCUGUGCUAUUAUUACAUAUUAUUGCUUGCAAGUGUGCUGCUGCUGCAGCAAAAAGAAACAGCUUGUUCUCUGAGAUGUUGUGAUGUCUUUGAUGACCCAAGUCAUCAAACACCCACAGUCCUCGGGGAGUGCAGUUUUUCUAAAGGUAUAUCACUGGCAGUAAUAAGUCUUGGGCAAAUAUUCCUUCUGUACUCCAAGUGAUUUCUACUAUAAUCAUAAGCAACGACAGCCUCCCCCUGGCCCAGGUCAUCACACACCACUGAGCGGAGCUCCCUGUGCUGUGUAGCAGCUUUCUGAUUGCUGCUGCUGCUGCUAAGUCACUUCAGUCGUGUCCGACUCUGUGCGACCCCAUAGACAGCAGCCCAUCAGGCUCCCCCGUCCCUGGGAUUCUCCAGGCAAGAACACUGGAGUGGGUUGCCAUUUCCUUCUCCAAUGCAUGAAAGUGAAAAGUGAAAGUGAAGUUGCUCAGUCGCGUCCGACUCCCAGCGACCCCAUGGACUGCAGCCCACCAGGCUCCUCCGUCCAUGGGAUUCUCCAGG
ensembl:lncRNA